GCAAGUCGAACGAGAGAAGAUAAGCUUGCUUUUCUGAUCUAGUGGCGGACGGGUGAGUAACACGUGAGCAAUCUGCCUUUCAGAGGGGGAUACCGAUUGGAAACGAUCGUUAAUACCGCAUAACAUAAUUGAACCGCAUGAUUUGAUUAUCAAAGAUUUAUCGCUGAAAGAUGAGCUCGCGUCUGAUUAGCUAGUUGGUAAGGUAACGGCUUACCAAGGCGACGAUCAGUAGCCGGCCUGAGAGGGCGAUC
rnacentral:rRNA from 1 species